AAUAAGAGAAUGACAAAUCAUAUUUUUCCUCCUGAUUUUCAACUUUUUUCUCAUAAAAAAAUUUAAAUCCAACUAUAACUGCUAAAAAUCAAGAGAAAAAAUCUGAUUUAUCAUUCUUUUAUU
rfam:Gossypium raimondii Chr05_contig_1335, whole genome shotgun sequence.